GGGUUGUGAGGUUAAGCGACUAAGCGUACACGGUGGAUGCCCUGGCAGUCAGAGGCGAUGAAGGACGUGCUAAUCUGCGAUAAGCGUCGGUAAGGUGAUAUGAACCGUUAUAACCGGCGAUUUCCGAAUGGGGAAACCCAGUGUGAUUCGUCACACUAUCAUUAACUGAAUCCAUAGGUUAAUGAGGCGAACCGGGGGAACUGAAACAUCUAAGUACCCCGAGGAAAAGAAAUCAACCGAGAUUCCCCCAGUAGCGGCGAGCGAACGGGGAGCAGCCCAGAGCCUGAAUCAGUGUGUGUGUUAGUGGAAGCGUCUGGAAAGGCGUGCGAUACAGGGUGACAGCCCCGUACACAAAAAUGCACAUACUGUGAGCUCGAUGAGUAGGGCGGGACACGUGGUAUCCUGUCUGAAUAUGGGGGGACCAUCCUCCAAGGCUAAAUACUCCUGACUGACCGAUAGUGAACCAGUACCGUGAGGGAAAGGCGAAAAGAACCCCGGCGAGGGGAGUGAAAAAGAACCUGAAACCGUGUACGUACAAGCAGUGGGAGCACGCUUAGGCGUGUGACUGCGUACCUUUUGUAUAAUGGGUCAGCGACUUAUAUUCUGUAGCAAGGUUAACCGAAUAGGGGAGCCGAAGGGAAACCGAGUCUUAACUGGGCGUUAAGUUGCAGGGUAUAGACCCGAAACCCGGUGAUCUAGCCAUGGGCAGGUUGAAGGUUGGGUAACACUAACUGGAGGACCGAACCGACUAAUGUUGAAAAAUUAGCGGAUGACUUGUGGCUGGGGGUGAAAGGCCAAUCAAACCGGGAGAUAGCUGGUUCUCCCCGAAAGCUAUUUAGGUAGCGCCUCGUGAAUUCAUCUCCGGGGGUAGAGCACUGUUUCGGCAAGGGGGUCAUCCCGACUUACCAACCCGAUGCAAACUGCGAAUACCGGAGAAUGUUAUCACGGGAGACACACGGCGGGUGCUAACGUCCGUCGUGAAGAGGGAAACAACCCAGACCGCCAGCUAAGGUCCCAAAGUCAUGGUUAAGUGGGAAACGAUGUGGGAAGGCCCAGACAGCCAGGAUGUUGGCUUAGAAGCAGCCAUCAUUUAAAGAAAGCGUAAUAGCUCACUGGUCGAGUCGGCCUGCGCGGAAGAUGUAACGGGGCUAAACCAUGCACCGAAGCUGCGGCAGCGACGCUUAUGCGUUGUUGGGUAGGGGAGCGUUCUGUAAGCCUGCGAAGGUGUGCUGUGAGGCAUGCUGGAGGUAUCAGAAGUGCGAAUGCUGACAUAAGUAACGAUAAAGCGGGUGAAAAGCCCGCUCGCCGGAAGACCAAGGGUUCCUGUCCAACGUUAAUCGGGGCAGGGUGAGUCGACCCCUAAGGCGAGGCCGAAAGGCGUAGUCGAUGGGAAACAGGUUAAUAUUCCUGUACUUGGUGUUACUGCGAAGGGGGGACGGAGAAGGCUAUGUUGGCCGGGCGACGGUUGUCCCGGUUUAAGCGUGUAGGCUGGUUUUCCAGGCAAAUCCGGAAAAUCAAGGCUGAGGCGUGAUGACGAGGCACUACGGUGCUGAAGCAACAAAUGCCCUGCUUCCAGGAAAAGCCUCUAAGCAUCAGGUAACAUCAAAUCGUACCCCAAACCGACACAGGUGGUCAGGUAGAGAAUACCAAGGCGCUUGAGAGAACUCGGGUGAAGGAACUAGGCAAAAUGGUGCCGUAACUUCGGGAGAAGGCACGCUGAUAUGUAGGUGAAGUCCCUCGCGGAUGGAGCUGAAAUCAGUCGAAGAUACCAGCUGGCUGCAACUGUUUAUUAAAAACACAGCACUGUGCAAACACGAAAGUGGACGUAUACGGUGUGACGCCUGCCCGGUGCCGGAAGGUUAAUUGAUGGGGUCAGCGCAAGCGAAGCUCUUGAUCGAAGCCCCGGUAAACGGCGGCCGUAACUAUAACGGUCCUAAGGUAGCGAAAUUCCUUGUCGGGUAAGUUCCGACCUGCACGAAUGGCGUAAUGAUGGCCAGGCUGUCUCCACCCGAGACUCAGUGAAAUUGAACUCGCUGUGAAGAUGCAGUGUACCCGCGGCAAGACGGAAAGACCCCGUGAACCUUUACUAUAGCUUGACACUGAACAUUGAGCCUUGAUGUGUAGGAUAGGUGGGAGGCUUUGAAGUGUGGACGCCAGUCUGCAUGGAGCCGACCUUGAAAUACCACCCUUUAAUGUUUGAUGUUCUAACGUGGACCCGUAAUCCGGGUUGCGGACAGUGUCUGGUGGGUAGUUUGACUGGGGCGGUCUCCUCCUAAAGAGUAACGGAGGAGCACGAAGGUUGGCUAAUCCUGGUCGGACAUCAGGAGGUUAGUGCAAUGGCAUAAGCCAGCUUGACUGCGAGCGUGACGGCGCGAGCAGGUGCGAAAGCAGGUCAUAGUGAUCCGGUGGUUCUGAAUGGAAGGGCCAUCGCUCAACGGAUAAAAGGUACUCCGGGGAUAACAGGCUGAUACCGCCCAAGAGUUCAUAUCGACGGCGGUGUUUGGCACCUCGAUGUCGGCUCAUCACAUCCUGGGGCUGAAGUAGGUCCCAAGGGUAUGGCUGUUCGCCAUUUAAAGUGGUACGCGAGCUGGGUUUAGAACGUCGUGAGACAGUUCGGUCCCUAUCUGCCGUGGGCGCUGGAGAACUGAGGGGGGCUGCUCCUAGUACGAGAGGACCGGAGUGGACGCAUCACUGGUGUUCGGGUUGUCAUGCCAAUGGCACUGCCCGGUAGCUAAAUGCGGAAGAGAUAAGUGCUGAAAGCAUCUAAGCACGAAACUUGCCCCGAGAUGAGUUCUCCCUGACUCCUUGAGAGUCCUGAAGGAACGUUGAAGACGACGACGUUGAUAGGCCGGGUGUGUAAGCGCAGCGAUGCGUUGAGCUAACCGGUACUAAUGAACCGUGAGGCUUAACCUUACAACGCCGAAGGUGUUU
rnacentral:rRNA from 1 species